CAAGUGCAAAAGCAACGGCAGCAGCUCUGCGCUGAGCCUCCCUCACCCACAGCCGCCGACCUCCAGCGGCACAGACAUACUUUGCUGGGCAUGUCAUGCAGUGACCGACCCGCAGUCUGGGAGCAGCUGAGCGCCAGGGAGCCGAGCGAGCACAGCGCCAGCAUCUGCCCUGACACAGCCUUACAUGCAGCCCCGGGAGAAGGAGAAGCAGUGGCCCUUCCCUCGAGCAUCGCAAAGCGACUUGAGCAACGUACAGCUUCUUAAAUGAGAUCUCGGACGUGGUCUGGCCGCACGCUGCUCACAGCCAGCAACCUCUGCCUGAGCACGGACGUGGCAGCACCUCUGUGGCUAUUAGAGCCACGUUUUGGCAACCACGAGCCUCACACCAAAGCCAGAAAGAGAUGGGAACGAAUGGCACAGCAAUGGAAGGGCAGUACGGCAGGCCCUGAACUUGUCCCCACCGAGCUGUAAUGCUAACAAGGGAGAAUCGUGCAGCUCAGCCCCCUCCUCCAGCCCUGCACUGAAAGAGACUGCAAAAACCAUUUCCAGCAUCUGACAUCCGAGCGCAGCCACGUCAGCAAGAGAGCAGCAGACCGAGGGGAUCCCAAAAGGAACCAAAGGUUGAACUCCGGGCAGCAGCCUGCAGUGACCUGACCAGCAGGCAGCACACUGUGUGCAGCCGUGUGCUUUAUCACCUUCCCUUCGUACACAUCCCACGUCGGGAGGGGAUUAAGCAGCAUUAACUGCCUGCCCAGGGCUCCAAUCUGCUGGAGGAUCCAGAGAAGGGGAACGGGUCGGCUUGGCUUGGUCCCAAGCAAAGGACAAAGGGAAGGGCUCAUUGCGUUGUGCCAGCUGCUGCCUGCUCCCAAACGAGCCGUGGUGGGGGGACGGCAGCACUGCAGCCUUGAGAAGACAGCCUGGUGGGAUGAGCCUACAGCGUGGGGUGGUAACCCCAAAGCCACCCGUUGCCAAAGGGUGAAGCUGAAUCUCCCCAUUCACAUCCAUCAGGCUGCUCCCCUGAGUGAUCAUCCCAGCAUCUGCUGUGCUUUGUCUUCACACCUCCUUCCAGCCCAGCAGGCCCUGCAGCCAUGGCAGUGCUCAGAGCACAGCAACAUACUGUGCAUCCCAAGAACUGAGACCUGCAGCAGGAAGCCAGCAAACAAAGCCAUCUCCCCAAUGCUGUAACCCCAUCAGCACUGCUCCAUCGCCAUGCCCACAGCUGUUCCACCAGGGGAAGCAGGCAGCAAAUUUGGAGAGCAGCUCUAUGCUUCAUGUGCAGGAAGAGUAGCACAGGGAGGAGGCAGAUCAUUAGGGCUACGUUUCCUAGGAGAUUUUCACACACUUAAAUGUGAGGAGGGGGGGGAGAAUAAGGCAUGAACGUAUUGUGCAGGCAGAAGGUAAAAAUCCCACUGGCACUUCAGAUCUGCUGAGCUAAACUACUGGUGGGCCACCACAGUGCACCGUAAUUGGGCUUAUUGUGUCCUCUUCUCCACGUCACAUGCACAGAAUGACAGCAGGAGAGCAAAGCACGUUGCUCAGAUGCUGAACAGCACAUCCCACAGGAGUUCCAGCAGCCAGGUCCUUGCUUACAACAUCUUCAAGGCCCAUAGUUGGCCACCCAACAGCACAGGGGAGGUUUAGGUUGGAUAUGAGGAGGAAGUUUUUCACCCAGAGAGUGGUGACGCACUGAACAGGUUGCCCAAGGAGGCUGUGGAUGCCCCAUCCCUGCAGGCAUUCAAGGCCAGGCUGGAUGUGGCUCUGGGCAGCCUGGGCUGCUGGUUGGCGACCCUGCACAUAGCAGGGGGUUGGAACUAGUGAUCACUGUGGGCCUUUUCAAUUCAGGGCAUUCCAUGAUGCUAUGAUUCGGUGAUAAUGCCAAAAGCAGUGAUAGCGAGGCAGGUGGGAUACCCAGCAUCACCUGUUUUAGCUGAAGGAAACACACUGACCUCAAUAGCAGUCACUUCAACAAGACAUGGGCUCAUGGAAGCAAUACAUAACCCCAAACAAAUUUCCCCUCUGUGUGGGUAUAACCCGAGCCUGAUUAUCAAGCAGGCAAGAACAGCCUUUAAUCACGAAGCCUUGAACUUUGCUUUAGCAGGGAGAGCAUGGAUCACUGCAGACAUCCUGCCUGUUAUUCAUCAUCUCCUAAUACACAUCCUAAAGCAGCUGCUCCUCUGCUUUCAUCGUCCUGAUGGAUGCUUCUCACCUGGGAGGCAAUGGGCUCCCAAUGGCUGCAGUGCUUACAUUGGGAGAGAAGGGAAAACCAGCAGAGAGAGAGCCUGGGGUCACAAAGGGGGUCUCAGUCAUUGCCUUACACUGAAUUAAACACAUCCUAAAGCCUCUGCUCUCCUUCAUCUGCAUCAGAGUUCCAUUCCAGCACCUGCAUCAGCCCUGGGUUCAGUGCGGGUGCUGCAGUUGCCCAUCCAUGCCAUGGAUGCAGGUUUGCUAGCAGGGUUUCUCAUGGGAGGAAACACCUCCCGUUCCUGCAGGCUGCAGAGAAUGAGAAAUCACACACACAGAUCAGAUUCCCACUGUAGGGAGCAGUGCUCAGCACCUGCCCCACCUGCUUACAGGGGGACUUCGGCACGGAGAUGUCCUACAGCGGCAUCAGGAGGGGGAAAAACACCACAAAUAAAUGGAAAAGAGAAAAGCAGCCACCCCAAACCAUCAGCUUCCAGCCUCGAAAUGGAAUCUUGUGGGUUUUUAUUAUUGAUUUAAGGUCGUACGCCCUCUGCCUGGGUCUGGUUUUUAAAGGCUAAUGGUGAUAACAGCAGAAGGAGAUGAAG
ensembl:lncRNA